GUGCAAUGGUAUUUUAUUAACUAAACAACCAAAUUGAAACAGUAUUUAUUUCAUUUGUUUUUUAGUUUGUGUGAUAAAAGUAGACCAGAGGACUGGGAGCCUUUAUUGGGUGUCAUGUGAUCAAAACAGUAUCGGCACCAACACAGCUGACAGUGGAUACUCGCAGCAACUGUACCACACAAAAAAAGAGAUUACAGACUUUUGUCUGGACUGGCUGAGGGGUGGCAUCCUGUGGCUGGAGGAAGGACAAAUGCUUACCAUGAGCAUGAUGGGAGGCAAAGUCACAGAAGUUCUGCAGUUAGCAGGAGGAAUCAGAGGGAACGUAGCCUUUGACCUCAGGGCUAACAGUCUGCUCUGGAACUCAAAAAAAUCAGGUUUGACUACAAUGAGUUUGCUGCAAGAGCGAAGCCACCAAGCUGGAAGAAGAUGGAACAUUUCAGGCUCAGUUGUAGCUGCCUUUGAGCCCUUCCUCUUGUCCCUUUCUGAUGAUGUCAUGACUCUGUGGGAUCGACGUGAUGGGAGUCGAAUCAAAGAAAUGACUGUGAACGGUCCUGUGUUCAGUGUGGUCACUGCCUUGAGGGACAUUCAUACAGGUUAGAUCAAGUAAUUGAUUACAGAGGAAACCAACUCAUUUAUGUAGCUACAUUGCUUUUAUUCAAUUGAAAUUAUUGUGUAAUACAGCUUGGUUUGAAUAGUUCACAUGCCUUGAAUUUUCUUCUGAAGUUUGUGUGUAGUGUAUUUGCUUAUAUAAAUCCUAAAAGGCGGUUUAGAGAGGGGGGGAGGAAAAAAAAAAAAACCCUCCUAGGACAUGCAUACGACAGAAUCUGACAUACGUCCUACCUUACUUUGCUUGUUAAUGUAAUUAAAAUCACUUUUCACAGUGCCCAAUGCUCCAGUCUGCAAAGAGCCAUCUGUGCUCUGUAGAUACUCAUCAGUCUGUCUCUUGCCUGCCCAGCUGUGUGAUGGUAAAAAGGACUGCCCUGAUGGAGACGAUGAAGAGUUUUGUGCUACAUGUCGCUCUAAAGGUAAUGUGUCAAUAUUGACAUUAUAUAAGGUGUAUAUUCUAUAACGAACAAUUGCCGUAAAUCUCCAUUGAUUUCACUCAUAUCUUGAUUUUCCAAGUCAUGAGAAUUUGUAAGUCUUUGUUUUCUCCUUUGCUGUUCACUUUAGAGGAUUUUAUGUGCAAGGAUAAUAAAAAUUGCAUCUCUGGGAAUCUUGUCUGUGACGGUCGCGCUCAUUGUUACGAUGGCUCGGAUGAGGUUGACUGCCCAACUGUAGCUCCUCCAGCAACUCGGGCAAAAAUCCUGAAGUGUCGUACGGGCUUAACGCUGUGUGCAGACGGCACAGAGUGUAUUUUAUUCAAGCAUGUGUGUGAUAGAGAGACGGACUGUAAAGAUGGAUCAGAUGAAGUAAAUUGCGGUG
rnacentral:lncRNA from 1 species